GGAUGAACGCUGGCGGCGUGCCUAAUACAUGCAAGUCGAGCGAACGGACGAGAAGCUUGCUUUUCUGAUGUUAGCGGCGGACGGGUGAGUAACACGUGGAUAACCUACCUAUAAGACUGGGAUAACUUCGGGAAACCGGAUCUAAUACCGGAUAAUAUUUUGAACCGCAUGGUUCAAAAGUGAAAGACGGUCUUGCUGUCACUUAUAGAUGGAUCCGCGCUGCAUUAGCUAGUUGGUAAGGUAACGGCUUACCAAGGCAACGAUGCAUAGCCGACCUGAGAGGGUGAUCGGCCACACUGGAACUGAGACACGGUCCAGACUCCUACGGGAGGCAGCAGUAGGGAAUCUUCCGCAAUGGGCGAAAGCCUGACGGAGCAACGCCGCGUGAGUGAUGAAGGUCUUCGGAUCGUAAAACUCUGUUAUUAGGGAAGAACAUAUGUGUAAGUAACUGUGCACAUCUUGACGGUACCUAAUCAGAAAGCCACGGCUAACUACGU
rnacentral:rRNA from 1 species